CAGGCUGCAACUCGCCUGCAUGAAGCUGGAAUUGCUAGUAAUCGCGGAUCAGCAAGCCGCGGUGAAUACGUUCCCGGGCCUUCGUACACACCGCCCGUCACACCAUGAGAGUUGGGAAUACCCGAAGCCUGUGAGCUAACUUUAGAGGCAGCAGUCGAAGGUAGAAUCGAAUGAUUGGGUGAAGUCGUAACAAGGUACC
rnacentral:rRNA from 1 species